UCCUCAGAGUCCACCUGGCAGUGAGGCCACUCCAGCCCCAGGUCCAGAGGGUAACCACUGGAGCCUACUUCACACCCACCGUAGAGCCCUGUGUGAUCUGACGGCAGACUCCACAGUGUUGCCUCUCCGUGCGGUGGGCCCCCCAAUGGAGUGAACCCCCUGAAUCAGCCGUACCACUAUUGGCCUUUCGCCACAAGUGAUCUCUAUAACUGGAAAAUGCAGAAUCCUAAGUUCUCCAAAAAACCUACUGCCUUGAUUGACCUCUUAGACUUAAUUCUUUUACCCACCAGCCUACCUGGGAUGAUUGUCACCAACUAUUACAGUUUCUUUUCACCACUGAAGAAUGGAACCAUAUCUUGGCUGAGGCCAGGAAGGCUGUUGAGAAUGCAGACAGAAGCCCCACCACCAACCAGGCUCUCAUCAAUGCCGCUUUUCCUCUUACUCGCCCCAAUUGGGACUCUAAUACGGGAACAGGUCAGUUAAGACUCCAAGUCUACCACCAGACUCUAAUGAGGGGUCUCCGUAAAGUGGCUAGAAAGCUGACUAAUUUGGCCAAGGUAGGUAAUGUACCGCAGGAAAAGGCAGAAUCCCCAGCAGCUUUCUUAGAAAGAAUUAUGGAGGCAUUCCACAUGCACACACCCCUAGACCCUAAAGCUGAGGAGAAUAGAGCAGCAGUUGUCAUGUUCUUUGUUAAUCAGUCAGCUCCAGACAUUAAGCGCAAGCUGCAGAGAAUAGAUAGACUGGGCGAGAAGUCUUUGCAGGACCUCUUAGAAGUUGCUGAAAGAGUCUACAACAACCGUGAGACCCCCGAAGAAAAGCAAACGAAGGUGGCUAAAAGACAGACCCAAGAAUUAGCCAGGAUCCUCCUGGCCUCCACAGCCCCGACCUUGGACGAAAGAAACAGGUGGCUGCACUGACUGGUGGCAGGAGGUAAGGAGGGUUCCCCAGGCAGGGAAAGGCUCCACCACCAGGAUGAUCAGUGUACCUAUUGUAAGGAAUAUGGGCCUGGGACUGCCCCAAGAAACCACCUCCAGACCUUCAUGCCCCCCCUCAGUGCCAGUCUUGGAACUGAGCGAGCUUGAAUGGUAGGGGGGUCAGGGCUCACCACCCCUUCCCGAGCCCCAGGUAACUCUCAGAGUGGAGGGGACCCCAAUUAAUUUCCUGGUAGAUACUGGAGCCCAGCAUUCAGUCCUAACACAGGACCAUGGCCCUAUGGAUGCCAGGAAAUCAUGGGCCCAGGGGGCCAUGGGCAUCAAACAAUAUUCAUGGACUACCUGAAGAACUGUGGACUUAGGCGUGGGCUGGGUAUCCCAUGCAUUCAUGGUCAUUCCAGACUGCCCCUACCCUCUCUCCUUGGGCGAGACCUCCUAACUACGGUAGGGGCUUGUAUCAUCUUCAAAGAUGAAGGACCCCUUGUCACAGACCAGUGUGGGAGUCCCAUAUAAAUACUCAACCUUUAACUUGAAGAUGAGUACAGACUGCACCAGCAGCAGCCUGAGGGCCAUCAGUCAACAGAUGUCACUGUAUGGCUGAAAACCUACCCACUUGCCUGGGCUGAAACUGGAGGAGUGGGGCUAGCUGCCCACCGACCACCGGUCAUCUUAGAGCUCAAGCCAAUGGCUGAACCUGUAUGUGUAUGGCAGUAUCCCAUGUCUCAAGAGGUCUGGCGGGGCAGCACGCCUCAUAUCCAGAGGCUUCUUAAGAGCAGGAUACUAGUGCCCUUUCAAUCUGCAUGGAACACUCCCCUGUUGCCUUUAAAAAAGCCACUGACUAAGCACUGACCUAAGAGAGGUCAAGAAGCGAGUAUUAGACAUCCACCCCACUGUCCCAAACCCUUAUACCCUAUUAAGUGCUCUCACCCCUGAUCGAGUAUGGUACACUGUUCUCGACUUAAAAGAUGCCUUCUUCAGCCUCCUGCUAGCCCCCCAGAGCCAGGCAAUGUUGGCCUUUGAGUGGAAUGAUGAAGAGCAAGGGAUCCAUGGUCAACUUACCUGGACCCGGCUGCCACAAGGGUUCAAGAACUCCCCCACCAUCUUCAAUGAAUCUUUACAUGAAGACCUGAGUGAGUACCGGCAGCAACACCCUCACCUGACUCUUUUACAGUAUGUAAAUGACAUUCUGAUCACAGCCGAGACAGAAGCAGAAUGCCACCAAGGCACCCAGGACUUGCUGACUGCACUAGGAGCUCUGGGGUACUGAGCCUCUGCCAAGAAGGCUCAGAUUUGUCAACAAACUAUGAGUUAUCUGGGGUACAUCCUUAAGGAUAGGCAGCAGUGGCUGUCCUAGGCAAGAAAAAAACAGUUCUGAAUAUCCUCCCCAAACCCCCUCCCCCCCGACCACAGCGAGGGGUGCGGGAGUUCCUUGGGUCAGCCAGGUUCUGCCGUCUGUGGAUUCCAGGGUUCAUGGAGAUAGCAAAGCCCCUCUAUGAAGCCACCCAGGAUAGCCUGCCUUUCCAGUGGAGCAUAGAACAAGAAAGAGCCUGAAAUGAGCCUUGCUCUCCCCCUGGCCCUAGGACUCCCAGAUAUUACCAAGCCCUUUCAUCUGUAUGUAGAUGAGCGCAAAGGCAUAGCAAAAGGGGUGCUUGCUCAAUCGCUUGGUCCCUGGACCCGGCCCGUUGCCUACCUGCCAAAGAAACAAGACCCUGUAGCGGCAGGCUGGCCCCCAUGCCUAUGCAUCAUUGCAGCUACUGCAUUGCUGGUUAAAGAUGCAGAUAAAUUAACUUAAGGGCAAGAACUAUUAAUCAUGACCCCUCACGCCAUUGAGGGAGUCCUCAAACAGCCACCAGAUCGGUGGGUUAGCAGUGCCCGACUUGCCCACUACCAGGGCCUUCUGCUGAACCCUCCACAAAUCCGAUUCCUCCAAAGAUCUUUCUCAAUCCGGCAACCCCACUGCUGAAUUCGGACCUAGAUGCCCCCCUCCAUGACUGUGUUAACAUCCUAGCCCAGGUUCACAGCGUACGCCAGGACCUUACGGACCAGCCCCUCCCUGACACGGCGGCCACCUGGUACACAGAUGGGAGCAGCUUCAUACAACAUGGAUGCAGAUACAUUCUCAGGAUGGGUAGAAGCAUUUCUGACCAGAAAUGAGACUGCGCAGAUAAUGCAGUGUCUAGCAGAAGCCUUGGGGACUAAUUGGAAAUUGCAUUGUGCCUCUUGACCCCAAAGUUCAGGACAGGCACAACAAGCUGAUUGGGAGAGGCUUAUAGCCCUCUACAGCUCAGGACCUGUCCCUGAACCACACGUUUUCCAGCCUAGAGACUGGGUGUACGUGAAACGUCACCGACAAGAAACGCUGGAGCCCUGGUGGAAGGGCCCAUACACUAGUCCUCGUUACUCCCACCGCACUCAAGGUUGACAGCAUCACCUUCUGGAUACAUUACAUGCAUGUUCACCUCGUGGACCAGUUCACCAUCAAGGAAGACUCCACCCACCAGUGAAAUUCCGACGGGACCCUAAUAACCCACUGAGACUCAAACUGCAGAAAUGCCAGGAUCCCUGAUGCCACCGUAUGUGUACCACUUACUGACUUAUUCUGCCUUGCUGAUUAUACCCCUCACUGCUAACCCUCAUUGCUCCAUUAGGAUAACGUGGCCAGUCACUGAUGCUAGCACAGGGAUGGUGCUCAACCAGACCUCUGGAGUUCACCCUAAGGGUACUUGGUUCCCAGAGCUCUUAGUCGACCUAUAUGAUCUGGUAGGAAUUAGACCCUGCCCCUCAGGGUGGCAGUCAUAUUGGUCCAGAAAUGCUCCAACCAAGUACUUUUAUGUCUGCUCUGAUCACCUUCCUAAUAAAUGUGGAGGAGCAAGUUUAUAUUUCUGUAACUCAUGGGACUGUGUUUCCACCGGGCAAUUAUGGUGGAACCCCCCAAGACAAGGAGACUUCAUCCAAGUAAAGAGGAAGGGUGUUUGGAGAGGGCAUACCUGUGUAGGAGGCCCCAAACCUGACACAGUUAGUAUCACCUUUAUGGAAAAAGGAAAGUGAAUGCUGGAUUGGGAACUCGGCAGAUGGUGGGGCGUGAGACUGUACAAUGCGCACAGCACAGACCCGGGUAAUGUUUUCCAACUCAAAAUCUUAUACACCCCUGUUAAUAAUAAGCCUGCUGUAGUAGGCUCUAAUAUAGUGCUUAAGCCUCCCCCUGCAGUCACCCCUAAACUCCGUGACUCCCCUGACUCCCCCGACCAAGCAUUCAGUACCCAAAGUCUGAUUCUAAACCCCACACCUGCGCCUACCACAGAUCCCUAUCCACUUUGGAAAUUAGUCAUUGCUACAUAUCGAGUCUUAAAUACUUCCAGACCAGACCUUACUAAGUCCUGUUGGUUAUGUGUAGAAGCCAGACCCCCAUACUAUGAGGGAAUUGUCCUAAUAAGCAAACCUAAGAUCAGCUCCCAGGCUAGUGACUGCCGUUGGCAACAGUCUAAGCCCCUAGUAACCCUACAGUCCAUUAUAGGACAAGGAACCUGUAUAGGUCAGACACCCGCCCCCCCCAAUACCAACAUCUAUGUACUCAAAUUCUCACCUGGGAUGGGACUGGAUAUAUAAUUCCCACCAACAAUUCCUGGUGGGCUUGCUCAACAGGGCUCACCCCAUGUCUACAUGGAGCAGUCCUUGAUUUAACCUGGGGCUUUUGUGUCUUAGUGCAGCUCAUCCCCAAGCUGAUCUAUCACUCAGAGGAGGACUUAUCUUAGGCCUAUGAGUCAGCUGCAGGCACACUUACAAGAACCAAGAGAGAACCAGUCACAGCAAUAACUCUAGCCAUGCUCAUGAGACUAAGUAUAGCAGGAGCAGGCACAGGAAUCUCCUCCUUAGUCCUACAAGACAAGAACUACAGAGCUCUGCAUGCUGCAAUAGACUUAGACAUAGAAAGAAUAGAAAACUCCAUUUCCCACCUUCAUAAGUCCCUAACUUCCCUCUCUGAAGUAGUACUCCAAAAUAGGCGGGGACUAGACUUACUGUUCCUUCAGCAAGGUGGAUUAUGUGUAGCCCUAGGAGAAGAAUGCUGUUUUUAUACUUACUACUCAGGAGUAAUCAAACAGUCCAUGGAGUUAGUGAGAAAAGGUCUCCGCAAAAGAAAACUCGAGCGGGAACAGUCUCAGAGCUGGUAUGAAUCUUUGUUCAGCAAGUUACCCUGGCUCACAACUAAUUUCAACCAUAGUGGGCCCACUUAUAAUCCUAUAACUGCUAUUAACUUUCGGCCCCUGCAUAAUUAAUACAUUACUGGCUUUCAUCUGAGCUAGAAUUAAUACUGUUCAAUUGAUGGUCUUACGGGCACAGUAUACCCACUUCAGCACUGAACGCACCAGCAAUGGCAUAGAGCUAGGGCUGGUAAAAAGCACUGAAGACCCAUGAUUGGAUCUUCUAGCCACAAGAAAAGGGGGAAUGUAAAGACCAAGUUAACUCCAUUUUGUUAAAACUAACUUCAUCUUGUCCCUCAGCCUUCAUUUUGCAUCUGCAUACCAAAGGCACUAGGCAACCUGCUUCCUCUCUCGGCUCCCCGUCCUUGCUCAAUGAUCUGCGCCCUUGCACAACAUCCGCUCCAAGUGAUAGCAACACUCUGCCAGACAGCCAAGGAAAAGUACUGCUCAGUCCCCUAGACCCCCUAUCAGCUCACCCCAGUGGUUCACCUCACACCCCCUCCCCUUUUUUUCCUUUCUGUACCCUUUAAAACCUCCUCCUUUUCGAGAUCAGGGCUUCUCUGCUCUCCUGCUGCACCAGGACCAGGAAGCCCCAGGCUCAAGCUUGUAAAUAAACAACCUCUUGCUUUUGCAUCUGACUUUGUCUCCAGGUAAUUUAUGUGAGGGAUCCCGCGACUUGGGCACAACAGAAGGAACAACAAUUAGUAGUUGUGAGUAAAGUCUGACAGAAAUCAUUGCAAGAAAAGGAGCAAUGAUCCUGUGAAAGAGUGGCCACCAAAACACUGGAUCACACAGAGUAAGGAGCAAGAUUCUGUGGAUUCCCAGGGAAGGAUUUUAGUUAUCACAAGUGAAAUGUUUAUUGAGCACAUUGUCAGGUAAAUCUUGCCUUUUGCUAGUUUCUGAUUCAGGUCUACUUUGCUUUACACGGUUGAAAAUUUUCUGAAACUUUACAAGUGAAAUUUUAUAAAACAAGCUAUAAUAAUGUGGUGGGUGGGGAGAACAUUUGAAGAAUGAACAAGGAAGCCAAAUGUGUAGAAAAUUUUGAAAUAGAAAUAUUGCCUCCUUGCUCCCUGGCUUCUUGGUUUUGGAGGUGAGCAUUUUGUGUGUAGGUUUUCAUUCAAGAAUAAUGCACCUCCUCCUUUUGAUACAGGACAGGUGGCGUGGUGGUACCCCAGCCAGCUUAGCAGAGCUGAGCUGGAAGACCUGUCACCUCCGCCUUGGCCGUUUUGGUGUGGUAGCAGCCAGAAGAGGAACCAGAGAGCUGGAGGGUAGGCAAGGGUGGGGGGGCCUCCCACCCCCACCAGACGCUGCAAUAGUCAAAGGAGCGGAACAAUUGGUGGGGAGACACUGGCCGCCUCCGUGUCUCCUUCCCUUUACACUUAUGACUGAAUACAGAACCCCCAUUUCCUAUGCCUAGGUCAAUUUCAUGUAAGUUUCCUAGGCCUCAAUUCCGUGAGUGGACUGUGUCCAUUCAUUAAACCAUUCAUUCACCAUGCCCCAGCUGAAGACUGUGUCCAUUCAUUAAUACAUUAAUUCACCUUUACCCAGCGGAAGACUGUGCCCAUUCAUUUCCUGGCCAAGGAACCCAUGCACUUAUGUAUACCACUAGACUAAGAGAGACAGAAGAGAGAGACAAAGAGAGCUUUUCUCCCUGACUUGGGUUUUCUCUCCGGGAGCUUUAGUGUUUUCGUAUUUUUUUUUUUAGCUUUUUUUUUUUUUUAAAUUAAAUUAUAGCUGUGUACAUUAAUGCGAUCAUGGGGCACCAUACACUGGUUUUAUGGACCGUUUGACACAUUUUCAUCACACUGGUUAACAUAGCCUUCCUGGCAUUUUCUUGGUUAUUGUGUUAAGACAUUUACAUUCUACAUUUACUAAGUUUCACAUACACCCUUGUAAGAUGCACCACAAGGGUGAAGGUGUAAUCCCACUAAUCACCCUCCCUCCGCCCAUCCUCUCCCCUCCAUAUCGUAU